UACAGAGGGUGCAAGCGUUAAUCGGAAUUACUGGGCGUAAAGCGUGCGCAGGCGGUUUUGUAAGUCAGAUGUGAAAUCCCCGGGCUUAACCUGGGAACUGCGUUUGAAACUACAAGGCUAGAGUGUAGCAGAGGGGGGUGGAAUUCCACGUGUAGCAGUGAAAUGCGUAGAGAUGUGGAGGAACACCGAUGGCGAAGGCAGCCCCCUGGGUUAACACUGACGCUCAGGCACGAAAGCGUGGGGAGCAAACAGG
rnacentral:rRNA from 1 species